rnacentral:rRNA from 1 species
AUUAAACGCUGGCGGCAGGCCUAACACAUGCAAGUCGAGCGGCAGCGGGAAAGUAGCUUGCUACUUUUGCCGGCGAGCGGCGGACGGGUGAGUAAUGCCUGGGAAAUUGCCCAGUCGAGGGGGAUAACAGUUGGAAACGACUGCUAAUACCGCAUACGCCCUACGGGGGAAAGCAGGGGACCUUCGGGCCUUGCGCGAUUGGAUAUGCCCAGGUGGGAUUAGCUAGUUGGUGAGGUAAUGGCUCACCAAGGCGACGAUACCUAGCUGGUCUGAGAGGAUGAUCAGCCACACUGGAACUGAGACACGGGCCAGACUCCUACGGGAGGCAGCAGUGGGGAAUAUUGCACAAUGGGGGAAACCCUGAUGCAGCCAUGCCGCGUGUGUGAAGAAGGCCUUCGGGUUGUAAAGCACUUUCAGCGAGGAGGAAAGGUUGAUGCCUAAUACGUAUCAACUGUGACGUUACUCGCAGAAGAAGCACCGGCUAACUCCGUGCCAGCAGCCGCCGUAA